UUUGAACGAUGAUCGCUUCGAUCUGUGAUAUAUUAAAGAUAAAAGGAAACAAAAAUGGAAGGGGUAGGAGGAGCAUCUUCGGUGAGGAUUGAUAGGAAAUCUUCCAUAGAUUCCGAGCCCAGAACUUUGAGCAUCGAUCAAAUCCACUAUGCCAGGGAGACAGCGCUGUAUGUGAUGAAAACUAUGUCCAUUGAAGAUGCAAUGAUUAUUUUCACGCAGCAAGAGGCCCAAAUCCUUUACCAUGCAUGCAUGCAUGCGGCUUAAAGUUUGAUCAGGGACUAGAACCAGUUGUUAGUGCUGGAAGGACGUGUAAUAAAAAUAAUGCAAUAUUGACAGAUACAGGUGAAGAGCUGGAGCAUGCAGCUGGAGAUCAGCAUCUACCGGCUGGACCCAGGGAUAUUGCAUCUGCACCUUUCUAGUUUGUUUUUUUUGUCACAUACUAUGCCAAUUUUUCCUUCUUCUUCUUCUUCUUCUUUUCUUUUGUCAUGUAAAGAACAUGAUGCUCGGUUCGUGUACAGGAUGGAAUUUUGCCUUUC